rnacentral:rRNA from 1 species
UACGUAGGGUGCAAGCGUUAAUCAGAAUUACUGGGCGUAAAGCGUGCGCAGGCGGUGAUGUAAGACAGAUGUGAAAUCCCCGGGCUCAACCCUGGGAACUGCAUUUGUGACUGCAUCGCUGGAGUGCGGCAGAGGGGGAUGGAAUUCCGCGUGUAGCAGUGAAAUGCGUAGAUAUGCGGAGGAACACCGAUGGCGAAGGCAAUCCCCUGGGCCUGC